GGCUGAUUGACAGCAAGGACGAUGGCGCAAAACCCCAGAGGCCGGGCUUUCCCAGGCAGUCUGCUCUCGCCCGCUCCUGUCCCACGGUCCCGUCUGUGACAUGGCGACAACGGCCUCUGCCUUGCUUGUCCGUUGUGAAGAUCAGAGUAGAGGGGGAUUCAGAAAAAGGUGAAAUUCCCCCUCUUUCUGCAGUGAGUGUUGGACAGUGGCCUCAUUAACUGGGUUACAUACCCAUUUGGCAGGGGAACAGGUGAGCAGCACAGAAGUAAUGGUGCCUGGAUGAAGAAAGUCACAAAAAAGUGGAAGUAACAGUAUGUACCACAAAGGCUGCUCUGUCCAUAUAAGGUCCACAGGAUAAUGGUUAGUGCACAGUGACUGCUCCCCUCCCACCCACCAGGCCCGGCCCUUCAAGCUUCUGGAGAGUCUGCAUACAUCAGGCCUGCCUAUCCGGGGCUUAUAGAAGCCCCCCUCACCUCAUAUGUCAGAUGAGGCACAACUCUGUCUCCAACCUUUAUCUUUCCGACUGUCAUAGAAAAUGUACAAGCCAUCUUGAAAGCCAAUGAAUGGAAUCCUAAAGCCUAGGAGGGAAAGUGUAUUCUAGAGAAGAGAGACACCAGUUUUCCAACCAGACAGAGCAAGCGAGACCUCUGACAAGUUGUGUGACCUCAGGCAACUUCCCUGAGCUUUCUGAACUUCCGGCUCCUCAUCUAUAGAACGGGGAUACCUGUGGUGCCUUGCACAGCCUGCCGUGGGAUCAAGUCAAGGAGCCCGGAUGUGGAGGAGAGUGCCUCAGAACCUGCUCCUCAGGCAGUGACAGCUACUCCUGAGCCGUCAGCCCAGGAGCAGGAGCGAUCACUUGAGCUAUUCAUUAGCAUAAACAUUUCACAACAAUGUCAUUUUAAUUCUCCCAAAGAGCACCUGUUAUCUAUCCCACAAAUUGGACCCUCCACAGCAUAAAUCAAGAACACUUCCCAUGUGUUUUAAAUGAAGAAGUGCCCUUCCCCCCAAUAAGGCAAAUAUUAAACAAAGCCAAAGCAAAAAAAAAAAAAACCCAGACACAGAACAGAAACAUCCCACACUGUGACUUUAAUAGCUGAUCAACUGCAGAUCAAGAGCUUUAAUUUCUCCUCGACUCUGGGUUGAUGGGAGACGCUGAGUC
ensembl:lncRNA